rnacentral:rRNA from 1 species
AGAUUGAACGCUGGCGGCAUGCCUAACACAUGCAAGUCGAGGCGGCAGCGCGGGGGCAAACCCUGGCGGCGAGCGGCGGACGGGUGAGUAAGGCAUCGGAAUCUGCCCUGAUGUGGGGGAUAACGUAGGGAAACUUACGCUAAUACCGCGAUACGACCGGAGAGGUGAAAGCGGGGGACCGAAAGGCCUCGCGCAGCAGGAUGAGCCGAUGUCCGAUUAGCUGGUUGGUUGGGGUAAAAGGCCUACCAAGGCGACGAUCGGUAGCUAGGUCU